rnacentral:rRNA from 1 species
CCUACGGGGUGCAGCAGUGGGGAAUAUUGGACAAUGGGCGAAAGCCUGAUCCAGCCAUGCCGCGUGUGUGAAGAAGGCCUUCGGGUUGUAAAGCACUUUCAGUGGGGAAGAAAGCCUUGGGGCUAAUACCCUCGAGGAAGGACAUCACCCACAGAAGAAGCACCGGCUAACUCCGUGCCAGCAGCCGCGGUAAUACGGAGGGUGCGAGCGUUAAUCGGAAUUACUGGGCGUAAAGCGCGCGUAGGCGGUCUGAUAAGCCGGUUGUGAAAGCCCCGGGCUCAACCUGGGAGCGGCAUCCGGAACUGUCAGGCUAGAGUGCAGGAGAGGAAGGUAGAAUUCCCGGUGUAGCGGUGAAAUGCGUAGAGAUCGGGAGGAAUACCAGUGGCGAAGGCGGCCUUCUGGACUGACACUGACGCUGAGGUGCGAAAGCGUGGGUAGCAAACAGGAUUAGAUACCCCAGUAGUC